rnacentral:rRNA from 1 species
GACGAACGCUGGCGGCGUGCUUAACACAUGCCAGUCGAACGGAAGGGCCCGGCGUUUGUGGGGUGCUCGAGUGGCGAACGGGGGAGUAACACGUGAGUAACCUGCCCUUGACUUUGGGAUAACUUCAGGAAACUGCGGCUAAUACCGGAUAGGAUCUCCUGCUGCACGGGGGGGGAUGGAAAGAUUCGGCGGUUGGGGAUCGACUCGCUGCUUAUGCGCUGGUUGGUGGGGUAGUGGUUUACCAAGGCUUUGACGGGUAGCCGGCAUGAGAGGGUGAACGGCCACAUGGGUACUGCGAGACGGCGCAGACUCGUACGGGAGGCAGCAGGCGGGAAUAUUGCACAAUGGGCGGGAGCCUGAUGCAGCAACGCCGCGUGCGGGAUGACGUCCUACGGGUUGUAAACCGAUUUCGCCGGUGACGAAGCGUGAGUGACGGUAAUGGGUAAAGAAGCACCGGCUAACUACGUG